GGGAUUGCCCCAGUAACGGCGAGUGAAGCGGCAACAGCUCAAAUUUGAAAUCUGGCCCCCCCGCGGGCCCGAGUUGUAAUUUGCAGAGGAUGCUUUUGGCGCGGCGCCUUCCGAGUGCCCUGGAACGGGACGCCAUAGAGGGUGAGAGCCCCGUCUGGUCGGACGCCCAGCCUCUGUAAAGCUCCUUCGACGAGUCGAGUAGUUUGGGAAUGCUGCUCUAAACGGGAGGUAUAUGUCUUCCAAAGCUAAAUACCGGCCAGAGACCGAUAGCGCACAAGUAGAGUGAUCGAAAGAUGAAAAGCACUUUGAAAAGAGGGUUAAACAGUACGUGAAAUUGUUGAAAGGGAAGCGCUUGUGACCAGACUCGGGCGCGGCGAAUCACCCGGCGUUCUCGCCGGUGCACUUCGACGCGCCCGGGCCAGCAUCAGCUCGCCGCGGGGGACAAAGGCGCCGGGAACGUGGCUCCCCAGGGAGUGUUAUAGCCCGGCGCGCAACGCCCCGCGGCGGACUGAGGUUCGCGCGUCCGCAAGGAUGCUGGCGUAAUGGUCACCAGUGACCCGUCUUGAAACACGGACCAAGGAGUCGUCCUCGUAUGCGAGUGUUCGGGUGUCAAACCCCUACGCGCAAUGAAAGUGAACGCGGGUGAGAGCCUCGCGGCGCAUCAUCGACCGAUCCUGAUGUUCUCGGAUGGAUUUGAGUAGGAGCAUACGGGGCCGGACCCGAAAGACGUGAACUAUGCCUGUGUAGGGUGAAGCCAGAGGAAACUCUGGUGGAGGCUCGCAGCGGUUCUGACGUGCAAAUCGAUCGUCAAACAUGGGCAUGGGG
rnacentral:rRNA from 1 species